GAUGAACGCUGGCGGCGUGCCUAAUACAUGCAAGUCGAGCGAACGGACGAGAAGCUUGCUUCUCUGAUGUUAGCAGCGGACGGGUGAGUAACACGUGGAUAACCUACCUAUAAAACUGGGAUAACUUCGGGAAACCGGAGCUAAUACCGGAUAAUAUUUUGAACCGCAUGGUUCAAAAGUGAAAGACGGUCUUGCUGUCACUUAUAGAUGGAUCAGCGCUGCAUUACCUAGUUGGUAAGGUAACUGCUUACCAAGGCAACGAUGCAUAGCCGACCUGAGAGCGAGGUUGGACAGCUGGGAACUGAGACAGGGUCCAGACUCCGACGGUGGGCCGCAGUAGGGAAUCUUCCGCGAGGGGCGAGAGCCUGACGGAGCAACGCGGCGGAAGGGAUGAAGGUCUUCGGAUCGGAGAACGCUGUUAUUAGGAAGGAACAUAUGUGCAAGUAACUGUGCAGAUCUUGACGGUACCUAAUCAGAAAGCCACGGCUAACUCCGUG
rnacentral:rRNA from 1 species